rnacentral:rRNA from 1 species
GCUUGUCUCAAAGAUUAAGCCAUGCAUGUCUAAGUAUAAACAACUUUAUACUGUAAAACUGCGAACGGCUCAUUAUAUCAGCAAUUAUUUAUUUGAUGGUCUCUUACUACAUGGAUAACUGUGGUAAUUCUAGAGCUAAUACAUGCGUAAAAUCCCGACUCUCGCGGGGAGGGAUGUAUUUAUUAGAUAAAAAACCAAUGCGGGGCAACCCGGAAUAUGGUGAAUCAUAAUAACUGUCGUAUCGAGCAAUCGAAGCGCCAUACAAGUUUCUGCCCUAUCAGCUUUGGAUGGUAGGGUAUUGGCCUACCAUGGCUUUAACGGGUAACGGAGAAUUAGGGUUCGAUUCCGGAGAGGGAGCCUGAGAAACGGCUACCACAUCCAAGGAAGGCAGCAGG